rnacentral:rRNA from 1 species
CCUACGGGAGGCAGCAGUGAGGAAUAUUGGUCAAUGGGCGCAAGCCUGAACCAGCCACGUCGCGUGAGGGAUGACAGGUCUACGGGUUGUAAACCUCUUUUAUAAGGGAAUAAAGUGAGGCACGUGUCCCACUUUGUAUGUACAUUAUGAAUACGGAUCGGCUAACUCCGUGCCAGCAGCCGCCGUAAUCCGGAGGAUCCGAGCGUUAUCCGGAUUUAUGGGGUUUAAAGGGAGCGUAGACGGGUUGUUAAGUCAGUUGUGAAAGUCUGGGGCUCAACCGUAAAAGUGCAAUUGAUACUGGCAGUCUUGAGUACAGGAGAGGUAGGCGGAAUUCGUGGUGUAGCGGUGAAAUGCUUAGAUAUCGAGAAGAACUCCGAUUGCGAAGGCAGGCUACUGGAC